CAAGAGUGGGGGUGGCCCUCCCAGCCAGAACUUCGCCCCAGUACAACAGCAGAUGCCCCGCAGAGCACCCUCCAGGCCGGGAAGCACGGAGCGGGCGGGUGGGCAGGUCCUAGGCUACAGCGGACGCGCCCUCCACGCCCCAGGCCACAGUCCGCUGCGGGGGGCCUGCGGUCACACGACCCGCUUUCUGUCCCCCCGGCACAGGAUCUUCUUGAAGGCGCGGCGGAAGUCGUGGUUGAAAAUGGUGUAGAUGACCGGGUUCAGGGAGCUGUUGCAGUAGCCAAACCAGAAGAAGAACUUGAAGAGCGUGCGCGGCACCGAGCAGCCAACAGCCGUGAGCGUGUAGGUGAAGAAGAAGGGGAACCAGCACACCACGAACACCCCGAUGACCACGGCCAGCACGAACGUGAAGCGCUUCUCGCGGUUCUGCCGCCCGCGCCAGCGCGACGCCUUGGCGCCCCCGCCGCGCUCCUCCCCGGGCCCCGCGGUCCCGGGCCCGGUGGCCCCCGGUGCGCGGCGGGGCAGGCUGUCGCCGGGCUUCACCUGGCUGGCGCGCGCCUUGCCCUUGGCUCGGAGGCCGCGCUCGGGUCUGCGGGCCCCUGGGGGCCGCUCGGCCUGCUCCGACGACGAGCUCUCCUCCAGGUCCAGAGCGUCGGCGUCUCGCGGCCCGGCUGGCGCGGGCUCCCCGGGCGCGCCGUUGACCUGCGUGGGCAGCGGCUCGGCCUCGGCGCCCCCCGGGCCGGCGCCGCGCUCCGGGCCCAGCCCAUUGGGCCUGCGCUCGGCGCCCCCAGGCGGCGCGGCGGCGUGGGCGUCCGGACCCCGGCGGCUGGGCGGCACGCGAGUGCGGCGCUUGGCGAUCUGGUAGAUGCGCACGUAGACCAAGAUCAUGAUGAGGCAGGGCGCGAAGAAGGAGCCGAUGCACGACGAGAUGACGUACCACUUCUGGUCGUUGAUUUCACAGCGCUGCUCUGCCGGCUGCUGCCCGCCGCCGCCAGCCUUCUCGAAGGAGAUGAGCGGCGGGAAGGAGAUGACGGCCGAGAUGACCCACACGGUGACGAUGAUGGCCUUGAUGCGGCGCGGGGUGCGCUUCAGGUUGUACUCGAUGGCCUGCGUGAUGGACCAGUAGCGGUCCAGGCUGAUGGCGCACAGGUGCACGAUGGACGACGUGCAGAAGAACACGUCGAGCGCCAGGUAGAUCUCGCACCACGCCUUGCCGAAGUACCAGAAGCCCAUGACCUCGUUGGCCAGGGAGAAGGGGAUGACGAGCGUGGCCACCAGAAUGUCCGCCGAGGCCAGCGACACCAGGAAGAGGUUCUGCGGCGCCCUGAGCGCGCGGCUGGUGAACACGGCGAUGACGACCAGCACGUUGCCGAACACGAAGUAUUCCCAAACAGGUACUCCACCUCCAGAGGGAGUGGAACUCUGAUAAAAUCACAUCAGGAAGGAAGGGCUGGCAGACCAGGCCUGGCAUCCCACCCUGGACCCACGGCCGUGGACCCGUGUGUCCAGUUGCCCAGCUCUGAACUCCUGGGAAGCGCUGUGUCUUUGUGGAGCCACAAACAUCCUAUGAAUGCCUCCCAGAAGGAGCUCCAAGGCUCCAAACACAAAGUAAUGAAGCAAAGGGGAAAAUAAAAGCAAAGUCUGCAGUGCUUCCCUUCUUGGAAUUUUGCUGCUGGUUUGUGUAUGACACCUCUUGUCACAUUUCCUGACUGCUCCCAAGCAGCCAAUUGGUUUCUUCAUUCCUGGAUUUGGAAUCUUUUCUCUUAAUCUGGAAACACGCCUCUCAAGGAGCUAGGGACCCUGGGCCCAGUGCAGUGGCACGAAUGUUAAUAAGAACUGGAGCACCCUUUUGUUACUGUGCUAUGCGUCCUGUCCAGGGUUCUCUACAGAGCCUCUGCUCCAUACAGAGCUCGUCCUCCUGUCAGAGCUUCCUUAUCACCAAGGGCUCUGCCUCCGUAGUCUGUCACAGAGUUGGUAUCUCUGAGCUUUGAAAAUCUACACAGACACCAUUAAUCUUUGCUAGAAGGGUUCAUGCUGUGCUAGCUGAGUGAGCCAGAGCCGAGCAGAGACAUCCACAAGGACAGUACCAGACCUGUAUACCAGCCCUGCCUGGGAAGAUAAUCCACUUACCAGUGCCCCACCAGAGAUUAUGACUCAAGUCCAAAGUGGGACACAGCUGGUGGAUUCUAACAAACCCCUCCAGGAGAUACGGGUGUGCACUCUUCUGAAGACCCUAGCGGAAGCAGUCUGUCUCAGUGAGGCUGUGGAGAUGGGCAUGCACUCUUUCCUGGCACCCCAAUUACCUGCCGACUUGCAUGAAGUCAACCUGCAUUGGAAAGAAUGGGUCCAGGCUGAGAAUCACUGCCCCAAGGCUCAGGCCAGCAGGUCCACAGCAGUGCCACAGAGCUCGGGGAGCUGAGAUGGAGCAAACAGUGGAGAGCAACCUCCGAUACAGGCUGGCUUUGGUGGCCUGAGGAGGAACCACCUCUGGGCACACAAAUGGGGGUCCCUUAUUUUUGUUAUUAAUUUUAAAAUACCAUUUGUGAGCACUGGCCUCAUGCCAGGCACAGUGCUCAGUAGUUUACGUACCCUAUAUUAUGUACUAUAUAUGUUUUGUGUAUGUGUUAUAUCUAUGUACCAGUGCUGGCGAAUUUUUUACAGCUUUCAGUAAUGAAAGCUGGCCAUGCCACGCAUGCUAUAGGUUUGCCACCACUACUAUAUACCAUCUACUCUAUAGGUAAUUCUAAAAAUAACUUUGAACAUAGUUACUUUCAUUUGUCUGUGUAAGUAAGUGAGGGAAAUAAGGCCCAGAGAGGGUAAGUAAAUGGCCCAGCUAAUAAGUGGCAGGAUCAGCCCCAACCCUAUGUGUCCUGAUUAUGAGCCCAACAAGCUUUCUAGGCCCCCUACUGUGAAGCUGUCCCCUCCACAUUCUGCCAGGGGGAACUUGCAAGAUCCCUGGAUUAUCAGAAAAGAGAGCAUUGACAAGUGGCUAAAUCUCGGCCAAUCUCUGCCCUCCUGAUCCAGUCCUGGCUACUACAGCAGGUCAGUGUGAGGCAAAAUGUAUCUCUUCAUUCCAAGAGGUCCUGGAGGUAGCAACAGGCAAUGCUGCCUGAGACUGGACAUUUGCCAAGGACCAGUCUGGUGCAGGGUGAAGGCAGCACCAACUGCUUGGGCAGCACCUGAACCGCAGAGCCAGGUCUCCCUGUCAUGGCACCUGCACGUCCUUACUGCAGCUUGGAUGCAUUCUCUUCCCUUGAGCUGACCUUCUCACCUGUAGGGCAGGGUGACAAGGGAAAGGACUAAGAAAUCAUGCUUCCGAGCUGGGUGUGGUGGCACGUGCCUGUAACUCAGAACUCUGGGAGGCUAAGGCAGAAGGAGUACAGGUUCAGGCCCAGUCUGGGCAAUUUAACUAUCUCAAAAAAAAAAAAAUUUUAAGGCUGGGGAUAUAGCUCAGUGAGAAGGCCCUGAGUUCAAUCCCCACUACCAUAAAAAAAAAUCUGGAGUAGACUUCUUAGAGGUUCUGAUUCAGUAAAAUUAUGCUGCCUUGGCACUUGCAUUUUUAACAAAGGUCUAAGUAAUUCAAUAAAUACCAAAAUACAAGACACACUAGCAAAGAAACUUGAAAAGUGCUUCUGUAAUGAAUGAGUGAGUGAAUGGAUAGAUUUUACUUAUGAGCAAAGUAGCACAGAAGUAACAGGCCCAGGAGUAGGUGGCCAAGGUGGCUAGCAUCUCACUCCUAAGUAAGGAUUUAGUUAUAGCUAUAGGAUCCUCUCAUUCUAUUUUUUUCCCCUAAAGGAACAUGUUAGUAGAGGGAAAUGUUCUAAUUAUAACUACAGCUAGGCGAUUUACCAAUAAAUGAAAGCUGCUUAAGCAAAAUAAUUUGUCUUGGAGUCAUAUCUGAAAUUAAACUGUCAGGCAACACCCAAAUGUGUCUUGGCAUCUCUGUCUGUCUUUGAUGGUGACUUCAUCUAAUAAG
rnacentral:lncRNA from 1 species